rnacentral:lncRNA from 1 species
UCACUUUAUGUCCUCCAAACUCACCCUAACUUCUCGUUUGGGUCUCAUCCCGCGGGGCUGCUGGGAAAUAAGCUCCGCCACCACAGUGGUUCCUCCGCCCUGUGGGAGUGGGGGGCUCUUAUGCUGGAGGGGGGACACUGGCCUGGACUUCUGCUGAGGCUCUGCCCCUCAUCCCUGCAGGACGGACUAGCCAGUCCUAACACAGGACUAGCGUUGCUCUACCACGUCCAAGCCUCCUCUGAGAUUCUUCCUCCAUGCAACCACUUCCCCUGGGGCGUGGCCACCUCCCUGGAAGCCGCCAGCAUGCUCGGCUGGGCCCCCGCACUCUGGAGGCUUGAGAAUCUCUCUAUUUUUGAAUGACGUCCUUAUCCUCUGCCCCCAGGCUGUUCCCUUGAAGAAUCCACCUUCCUGCAGGGUUGGGGGAGCGCAGAAUGGGAGGAAGAUACAAAUACCAAUUUUAUAGCAAGAAUGCAAAAAGAGGCCAGCGCGGUGGCUCGAGCCUGGAAUCCCAGCACUUUGGAAGGCGAGCUGGGCGGAUCACUUGAGAUGUGACCAGGUGACCCCCCUCUGGCCAGGGAACAAUGGGCCGAAGUCCUCAGGGGAUUUGUGGGGAAGCGCGCCCCCUCCUCCUUGGGGUUUUCUUGCGGAGCUGCUGUGAAGACUCAGCUCAGCUGUGAUAAUUACCUGAGGUCAGCUUCUCCAGAAUGCCCUUAUCUCCUAAGGCCUUUGAGAUAAGCAGGAAUUGUGGUGUCUGCCUUGCCUCCAAACCUUUAUCCUUGCUUAUCUCAGUGGAAAAUUCCAGCAGGGAUUUCUGAACACCAAGUUAAAUUCCUCCACUCAACAAUCAGUUUGGCACGUGGCUGCCCGCCAGUCUGGGCAGAACAGAGGGGAGCCAAGGGAAUAAACCCAAGUCCUGCCCCCAGGUGCCCAGAGCCUGGCGGGGAUGGGACAGUUGCCUGCAGAGCAAGAGGCUGCCACCCAGUUUCACACAGGCCAGAGAGGCUGACCUACCUGCCCAGAGGCAGGGGAAGAAUCCAGAGGACCUCUCCCGGAGGAGGCACGAGAAGCCCACGUGGCAGCCAAGAAGAGGGAGAGCAUCCUGGGCCCCGGAAGCACAAUGCCAGGGGCAGACAUGCACUGGGAGGCACGGGGCCAGGGACACCUUCAGUGAGCACAGGGUCUGGGUAGGCUUCGGGAGGGGUGAGGGCGGAGAGGCAGCCAAGCCGGGUUGUGGGAGGCCCUGCCUAAUUCUGUAAAGACUAGGAUUAGAAACAUGACAAAAAUGGGUUAGGCACGGUGGCUCACACCUGUUAUCCACUUUGGGAGGCUGAGGCUGGUGGAUCAUCUGAGGCUGGGAGUUCAAGACCAACCUGGCCAACAUGGUGAAACCCCGUCUCUACUAAAAAUACAAAAAUUAGCCGGGCGUGGUGGCGCACACCUAUUAAUCCCAGGUACUAAGGAGGUUGAGGCAGGAGAAUUGCUUCAACCCAGGAGGCAGAGGUUGCAGUGAGCCCAGACCAUGCCACUGCACUCCAGCCUGGGCAACAGAACAAGUCUCUGUCUGAAAAAUAAAAUAAAA